ACCACAGCAACACACCUCUCCCCUCUGAGUUUAGAACUAGCAGAAAGGUAGGAGAGUGAGAGCUUAAAGCACCGGCCAUGGAGGAUUAGAGAGAGAAAAAUGGAUUUUGCUCUUACACCGACCCAAACUCCAAAUUGAUAUUACCAACGUUCCAUACCCAUCUCUAGCACCUCAGAACCACCACCAAUUACCCCAGAACCGAGCCUAGCUGCCGUUCUCCGAUUGUCUUCUUCGACGAACCGUUUUUACUGGAAACUUUUUUUUUAGCUAAAUCGAUUGGAGGAGAGACUUUUUGCAGAGAGAAUGUAAGACGAACAAGUCCGAAGUUGUUUCUAUCGCAGGAGGGUUUACAGGAAUGGAGACCGAGCAAGAGUUCGCUUGUGAUCCGUAUCAGACUUAAAGUCAGCUCUAUUGUUUAAAAAAAAAGUUAGACUUUAAUCAUUUUGUUAAUUCAGUACUUCAAAUUUAGAUUUGUAAUAACUUAAAUCGCUAUUUUGUAAUAAUCCUGGUUAAUUAAGUUACUAUCUUCUAAAGAAA